rnacentral:rRNA from 1 species
AUGUGGAGGUUAAAGAUCGCCGGCCAGGCUAGCGGCGGGCCGUGGCUGCAGUCGGCCAACGGCUUCCUGGGUAGGCAGGUCUGGGAGUUCGAUCGCGACGCCGGCUCGCCGGAGGAACGCGCGGAGGUUGAGAGGCUUCGUGAGGACUUCACCAAGCACCGCUCCCACAAGAGGGAGUCCCAGGACCUCCUCCUACGGUUGCAGUUUGCAAAAGGGACGGCAACAACCUGCACGAGGACUGAAAAGGGUGCACAAGUCACGGAGAAAAUGAUAACGACUUCAUUGAGGCGAGCUCUAAAUCAAUAUUCUGCUCUGCAAGCACAUGAUGGGCAUUGGCCUGGUGACUUGAGUGGAAUUUUGUUCAUUAUGCCCAUGCUUAUAUUCUCUUUAUAUGUUACUCGAUCACUUAACAUGGUCCUAUCAUCAGAACAUCAACACGAGAUAUGCCGCCACAUUUACAAUCAUCAGAACGAGGAUGGCGGUUGGGGAACACAUAUUUGGGGACCUAGUAACAUGCUUGGAUCAUGUUUAAAUUAUGCAGCCUUACGGCUGCUUGUUGGCGAGACACUAGACAACGAUAAUGAUGUGUUAAUCAAAGCGCGUGCUUGGAUUUUAUCUCAUGGAAGCGCAACUGCAGUACCACAAUGGGGAAAGAUAUUUCUCUCGAUACUUGGUGUCUAUGAUUGGUCGGGCAAUAAUCCAAUCAUUCCUGAGUUGUGGUUGCUUCCACACUUCCUUCCAAUCCAUCCAGGACGAUUUUGGUGCUUUUGUCGAUUAGUAUACAUGUCAAUGGCAUAUCUUUAUGGGAAGAAAUUUGUUGGGCUCAUUACUCCAACUAUAACGGCACUACGAGAGGAGCUCUACAACACACCUUACAGCAAUAUUGAUUGGGGAAAGGUGUCUAAUUGUUGUGCCGAGGAGGACCUUCACAAUCCCCGCUCACAGGUACGAAAUAUUGUACUUGUUUGUCUUAAAAAGUUUGUGGAGCCAAUGUUAAAUUGGUGGCCAACAAACAAGCUAAGAGGAAGAGCAUUGAGUAAGCUUAUGGAACAAAUUCAUUAUAACAAUGAAACAACUGAAUACAUAACCAUUUGUCCCGUGGACAAGGCACUGAAUAUGAUUUGUUGCUGGGUCGAAAAUCCAAAUUCAGAUGCAUUCAAGAAACAUCUUCCAAGGGUUUAUGAUUAUUUGUGGAUUGCAGAGGAUGGAAUGAAAGCUAAGAUAUAUGAUGGUUGCCAGAAUUGGGAGACACCAUUCAUAGUUCAAGCAAUGUGUUCAACAAAUCUUAUCAAUGAGUUUGGCCCAACAAUAAAAAAGGCUCAUGAUUUUAUGAAAAAGUCACAGGUUCUUAGAAACCUCCCAGAUUAUGAAAGAUUUUAUCGCCAUAGAUCGAAAGGUUCAUGGACCCUUUCAACUAUAGACAAUGGUUGGCCUAUAUCUGAUGGUACUGCUGAAACUCUUAAGACAUUGUUGUCAUUAUCAAAUAUUUCUGCCAAUCUUGUUGGAGAUCCAAUAGAAGAAGAGAGGUUGUACGAUGCCAUUGACUUUCUCCUAUCUUUGAUGAACAAAGAUGGUUCUAUUUGUACAUAUGAACGUAGAAGAACAGCCACCUGGGUAGAGCUUCUAAAUCCUUCUGAGAGCUUUAAGAACAUUGUCAUCGAUCAUCCAACUUCUGAAUGCACGGCAUCGGUGAUUGAUGGUAUGGUAUUAUUUAAAGAGCUGUACCCACAGUACCGCAGCGAAGAGGUAGGCAACUGUAUAAAAAAUGCUGUUAAAUAUGUCGAGGGAAAACAGUUGAAGGAUGGUUCAUGGUAUGGCAGUUGGGGUAUUUGUUUCACGUAUGGAACCAUGUUCGCAGUUAAAGGAUUAGGCGCUGCCGGAAGAAAUUACUACAAUAGUUCUUCUAUCAGGAAAGCAUGCAAGUUCCUCUUGUCAAAGCAACAAAGUACCGGUGGAUGGGGAGAAAGCUAUCUCUCUAAUUAUACGGAGGAGUAUGUGGACAGCGGCACUCCUCAUACAGUGGAGACUGCUUGGGCAAUGCUAGGUUUAAUUUAUGGUGGGCAGGCUGAAAUAGACCCGGUGCCACUGUAUCGUGCAGCACAAGUAUUGAUGAGCAUGCAGCUAGAAACGGGCGAGUUUCCACAGCAGGAGCACGCUGGAUGCGCCAACUCUGCCUUCUACUUCAACUAUCCCAACUACCGGAACUUAUUCCCUAUUAUGGCUCUUGGAGAGUUUCGUCGCCGACUUGUUGCAAACAAGAACUGA